GAUGAACGCUGGCGGCGUGCCUAAUACAUGCAAGUCGAGCGAACAGACGAGGCGCUUGCUCCUCUGACGUUAGCGGCGGACGGGUGAGUAACACGUGGAUAACCUACCUAUAAGACUGGGAUAACUUCGGGAAACCGGAGCUAAUACCGUAUAAUCUAUUGAACCGCAUUGUUCAAUAGUGAAAUACGGUUUUUCUGUCACUUAUAGAUGGAUCCGCGCCGCAUUAGCUAGUUGUUAAGGUAACGGCCUACCAAGGCAACGAUGCGUAGCCGACCGGAGAGGGUGAUAGGCCACACUGGAACGGAGACAGGGUCAAGACGACUAAGGGAGGCAGCAGUAGGGAAUGGUACGCAAAGGGCGAAAGCUUGACGGAGCAACGCCGCGUGAGAGAUGAAGGUCUUCGGAUCGUAAAACUCGGUUAUUAGGGAAGAACAAAUGUGGAAGUAAAUAAGCACGGCUUGACGGUAACUAAUAAGAAAGCAACGGCUAACUACGUG
rnacentral:rRNA from 1 species